AGCGAACACUGGCGGUAGGCCUAACACAUGCAAGUCGAACGGCAGCACAGUAAGAGCUUGCUCUUAUGGGUGGCGAGUGGCGGACGGGUGAGGAAUACAUCGGAAUCUACUUUUUCGUGGGGGAUAACGUAGGGAAACUUACGCUAAUACCGCAUACGACCUACGGGUGAAAGCAGGGGACCUUCGGGCCUUGCGCGAUU
rnacentral:rRNA from 1 species